GAAAUGCGAUAAGUAAUGUGAAUUGCAGAAUUCAGUGAAUCAUCGAAUCUUUGAACGCACAUUGCGCUCGCCAGUAUUCUGGCGAGCAUGCCUGUUCGAGCGUCAUUUCAACCAUCAAGCUCUGCUUGCGUUGGGGAUCCGCGGCUGCCCGCGGUCCCUCAAAAACAGUGGCGGGCUCGCUAGUCACACCGAGCGUAGUAACUCUACAUCGCUAUGGUCGUGCGACGGGUUCUUGCCGUAAAACCCCCAAUUUCUAAGGUUGACCUCGGAUCAGGUAGGAAUACCCGCUGAACUUAAGC
rnacentral:misc_RNA from 1 species